GGUGGAGUCGCGGCGGGAGCCCAGGCCGCUGCGGACCACGCGAUCCCGCAGCCGGCGACUAGAGCCCACCUCUGCAGAGACAAAGGUGCUGAACCCUUUAUCCUUUGGGAUAAUCCGGUGCCUGGAGGACACCAGGCUCUCUGAUCUUGAGGACAGACCUAGAAGAUACACCCCGGCUCACCAAAGACUCUCCAGCUUACACUAAAUCACACCGUGCUGACCUCCCACGGCCAAAUACAAAUGCCUAAAAACCCAGAUGUACUCAAAGAUUCAGGAGGCCAGAAUUUUAAGGACCUUCCAUCCCUUGCGGGGGGGGGGUUGUUCAGCCCCUGUGGAAAGAAUCGCGAGGUCAGUCGGAGAGGUCUGAAUUUCCUUUUUAUAAAUAAGGUCACCAUAGAAAGGCAUUUUCGUUAGUAAUGUCUAACUCAAUUAUUUCGACAAGGAAUAGCUAAAAGUGGUGAAGGU
rnacentral:lncRNA from 1 species